CGUACGCUUUUUCUUUCACCGGAGCUUGCUCCACCGAAAGAAAAGGAGUGGCGAACGGGUGAGUAACACGUGGGUAACCUGCCCAUCAGAAGGGGAUAACACUUGGAAACAGGUGCUAAUACCGUAUAACAAUCGAAACCGCAUGGUUUUGAUUUGAAAGGCGCUUUCGGGUGUCACUGAUGGAUGGACCCGCGGUGCAUUAGCUAGUUGGUGAGGUAACGGCUCACCAAGGCCACGAUGCAUAGCCGACCUGAGAGGGUGAUCGGCCACAUUGGGACUGAGACACGGCCCAAACUCCUACGGGAGGCAGCAGUAGGGAAUCUUCGGCAAUGGACGAAAGUCUGACCGAGCAACGCCGCGUGAGUGAAGAAGGUUUUCGGAUCGUAAAACUCUGUUGUUAGAGAAGAACAAGGAUGAGAGUAACUGUUCAUCCCUUGACGGUAUCUAACCAGAAAGCCACGGCUAACUACGUGCCAGCAGCCGCGGUAAUACGUAGGUGGCAAGCGUUGUCCGGAUUUAUUGGGCGUAAAGCGAGCGCAGGCGGUUUCUUAAGUCUGAUGUGAAAGCCCCCGGCUCAACCGGGGAGGGUCAUUGGAAACUGGGAGACUUGAGUGCAGAAGAGGAGAGUGGAAUUCCAUGUGUAGCGGUGAAAUGCGUAGAUAUAUGGAGGAACACCAGUGGCGAAGGCGACUCUCUGGUCUGUAACUGACGCUGAGGCUCGAAAGCGUGGGGAGCAAACAGGAUUAGAUACCCUGGUAGUCCACGCCGUAAACGAUGAGUGCUAAGUGUUGGAGGGUUUCCGCCCUUCAGUGCUGCAGCUAACGCAUUAAGCACUCCGCCUGGGGAGUACGACCGCAAGGUUGAAACUCAAAGGAAUUGACGGGGGCCCGCACAAGCGGUGGAGCAUGUG
rnacentral:rRNA from 1 species